GCAGCUUGCUGCGUGUAUGGUUAGUGGCAGACGGGUGAGUAAUGCAUAGGAAUCUACCUAGUAGUAUAGGAUAGCCACUAGAAAUGGUGGGUAAUACUGUAUAAUCCCUGCGGGGGAAAGAUUUAUCGCUAUUAGAUGAGCCUAUGUCAGAUUAGCUAGUUGGUGGGGUAAUGGCCUACCAAGGCGGUGAUCUGUAGCUGGUCUGAGAGGAUGAUCAGCCACACUGGAACUGAGACACGGUCCAGACUCCUACGGGAGGCAGCAGUGGGGAAUAUUGGACAAUGGGCGCAAGCCUGAUCCAGCUAUGCCGCGUGAGUGAGGAAGGCCUUAGGGUUGUAAAACUCUUUCAGUAGGGAAGAUAAUGACGGUACC
rnacentral:rRNA from 1 species